CAUGCAAGUUGAGCGCUGAAGGUUGGUACUUGUACCAACUGGAUGAGCAGCGAACGGGUGAGUAACGCGUGGGGAAUCUGCCUUUGAGCGGGGGACAACAUUUGGAAACGAAUGCUAAUACCGCAUAAAAACUUUAAACACAAGUUUUAAGUUUGAAAGAUGCAAUUGCAUCACUCAAAGAUGAUCCCGCGUUGUAUUAGCUAGUUGGUGAGGUAAAGGCUCACCAAGGGCGAUGAUACAUAGCCGACCUGAGAGGGGUGAUCGGCCCACAUUGGGGACUGAGACACGGCCCCAAAACUCCCUACGGGGAGGGCAGCAGUAGGGAAAUCUUUCGGGCAAAUGGGACGAAAAGUCUGACCCGAGCAAACGCCCGCGUGAGUGAAAGAAAGGGUUUUUCGGGAUCGUAAAAACUCUGUUUGGUAGAGAAAGAAACGUUGGGUGAGAGUGGAAAGCUCAUCAAGUGACGGUAAACUACCCAGAAAGGGACGGCUAACUACGUGCCAGCAGCCGCGGUAAUACGUAGGUCCCGAGCGUUGUCCGGAUUUAUUGGGCGUAAAGCGAGCGCAGGUGGUUUAUUAAGUCUGGUGUAAAAGGCAGUGGCUCAACCAUUGUAUGCAUUGGAAACUGGUAGACUUGAGUGCAGGAGAGGAGAGUGGAAUUCCAUGUGUAGCGGUGAAAUGCGUAGAUAUAUGGAGGAACACCGGUGGCGAAAGCGGCUCUCUGGCCUGUAACUGACACUGAGGCUCGAAAGCGUGGGGAGCAAACAGGAUUAGAUACCCUGGUAGUCCACGCCGUAAACGAUGAGUGCUAGAUGUAGGGAGCUAUAAGUUCUCUGUAUCGCAGCUAACGCAAUAAGCACUCCGCCUGGGAGAUACGACCCGGAGGUUGAAACUCAAAGGAAUUGACGGGGGCCCGCACAAGCGGUGGAGCAUGUGGUUUAAUUCGAAGCAACGCGAAGAACCUUACCAGGUCUUGACAUACUCGUGCUAUUCCUAGAGAUAGGAAGUUCCUUCGGGACACGGGAUACAGGUGGGUGCUGGAUGUCGUCAGCUCGUGUCGUGAGAUGUUGGGGUUAAGUCCCCGCAAACGAGCGCAACCCCCUAUUGGUUAGUUGCCAUCAUUUAAGUUGGGGCACUCUAAACGAGACUGCCGGGUGAUAAAACCGGAGGAAAGGUGGGGGAUGACGUCCAAAUCAUCAUGCCCCCUUUAUGACCCUGGGGCUACACACGUGCUACAAAUGGGAUGGGUACAAACGAGUCGCGAGACAGUGAUGUUUUAGCUAAAUCUCUUAAAACCAUUCCUCAGUUUCGGGAUUUGUAAGGCUGCAACUCGCCUACAUGAAAGUCGGAAUCGCUAGUAAUCGCGGAUCAGCACGCCGCGGUGAAUACGUUCCCGGGCCUUGUACACACCGCCCGUCACACCACGGGAGUUGGGAGUACCCGAAGUAGUUGCCUAACCGCAAGAGGGCGCUUCCUAAGUAAGACCGAUGACUGGGUGAGUCAAGGGGAGAAAAAAAAAAAACU
rnacentral:rRNA from 1 species